GAGUUUGAUCUUGGCUCAGGACGAACGCUGGCGGCGUGCUUAACACAUGCAAGUCGAACGGACCCUGUGGGGCUUGCUCUGCAGGGUUAGUGGCGAACGGGUGCGUAACACGUGAGGAAUCUGUCCUUCGCGGGGAUAGCCGGCCCAACGGCCGGGUAAUACCGCGUACGCUCGUUCCGGGCAUCCCGGGGCGCGGAAAGCCGCAAGGCGCCGAUGGAGGAUCUCGCGGCCUAUCAGCUAGUUGGCGGGGUAAUGGCCCACCAAGGCGACGACGGGUAGCUGGUCUGAGAGGAUGGCCAGCCACAUUGGGACUGAGACACGGCCCAGACUCCUACGGGAGGCAGCAGUGGGGAAUCUUGCGCAAUGGGCGAAAGCCUGACGCAGCGACGCCGCGUGUGGGAUGACGGCCU
rnacentral:rRNA from 1 species